rnacentral:rRNA from 1 species
GAUGAACGCUGGCGGCGUGCUUAACACGUGCAAGUCGAACGAAGCACCUCUCCCGAAGAUUGACACAGCUUGCUGUAGAUUGAUUCAUUUGAGGUGACUGAGUGGCGGACGGGUGAGUAACGCGUGGGUAACCUGCCUCAUAGAGGGGGACAACAGUUGGAAACGACUGCUAAUACCGCAUAGUAAGAAGAAUUCGCAUGUUUUCUUCUUGAAAGAUUUAUCGCUAUGAGAUGGACCCGCGUCUGAUUAGCUAGUUGGUAAGGUAACGGCUUACCAAGGCGACGAUCAGUAGCUGGCUUGAGAGAGUGAACGGCCACAUUGGGACUGAGACACGGCCCAAACUCCUACGGGAGGCAGCAGUGGGGAAUAUUGCACAAUGGGGGAAACCCUGAUGCAGCGACGCCGCGUGAGUGAAGAAGUAUUUCGGUAUGUAAAGCUCUAUCAGCAGGGAAGAUAAUGACGGUACCUGACUAAGAAGCCCCGGCUAACUACGUG